rnacentral:rRNA from 1 species
UACGGAGGGGGCAAGCGUUGUUCGGAAUUAUUGGGCGUAAAGAGUAUGUAGGCGGCUAGAUAAGUCAGACGUGUAAGCCCAUGGCUCAACCAUGGAAUUGCGUUUGAAACUAUUUAGCUUGAGUGCAGGAGAGGAAAGCGGAAUUCCCAGUGUAGCGGUGAAAUGCAUUGAUAUUGGGAAGAACACCGGUGGCGAAGGCGGCUCACUGGCUCGAUACUGACGCUGAGGUACGAAAGUGUGGGGAGCAAACAGG